UCAUAAUUUAUUUUCUUAAUAUUUCUCUUGUGGCCCAUAAACUGUAUGUAGUGGGUGAAAAAAUGAGAAGAGAAGUAUUUCGUAUUAAACAGGUUGUUUUUGAAGUGAAGCUGCUUUUCAUUGACUGAUUAUUGCAGUCUGCGAACACAUAGGCUACUGUUAAUAAUUUUAAUUAAAUGCCUUAAAUUCAUUUUAUAAAUGUCUUUAAAUAAUUUUCAUUGAGGUGUAAUUAUAAGCUAAUCAAAUCUUGUAUUAUCCUCGCAGCGCGUCAGUUAUGCGGUGAUGCGCUAUGAAAUAUUGCGGGCCAAAUGAAUUGUAGCUAAUAUCAAUUUAAUAUUAAAUAGGCCUACCCUAUACUACUACUACUACUACUACUACUAAUAAUAAUAGGCUAAUUAUUAUUAUUAUUAUUUAAUAUAUGAAUUGGAAAUGCUAAAUCCUCUUGAUAUCCAUAGCUGAUGCUUUUGACAAUAUCUCUGGAAACAUAUUGUCUAUCGGCGCAUCCCAGUACAUGGGUUUAUCGUGCAUAUUUCAAACGCAUAGUGUGAGCAGUGGAGUCACGUCUCGACCAUCGGACCGCAUAGUGUGAGCACAUAAAUCGUGCGUUUUGGCUUUCCAUCGCACGCGAUCUACUCGUACAGUGUGAGUUGGUAACCUUGCUGAAAUCGCACAGAUAUCGCACAGUGUAUGCUCGCCUUAAUCAGAUAUCGCUACAAUGUGCAGUUACAUGUAUCUUCCUCUAGAGGGCGCUCAGGUCGGUGAGGCUGUAGAGGUGUGCAGUGACGCGCUGUCCGAGGUGCUGAUCAUUCACACAGUGUUUGUGUGGAAAGAUCAGAGUCCUUGAGAUGCCAGUAGACCUAUAAGAGUAAACUAUAAAAACAUUUGUUUUUUUUUUAAAUAAAGUGAUUAAUGAUUUCAGUAUAAGAAGAAUGUCACUGCAACUUUGUCUUUCAUCUCAUAGUGUUUUUGCACCAUCUUUGUAACCUACAAAGUCUUGUUCUGAAAGAGCUGGUGAAACUGGUGAAGAGCUUCUUCUUUUCGUUCAGCACAUUGAGCUUCAGUUCACACGCCUCAUGACAUCAAACCCCAGAAACACCUUCUAUGAAGUCAAAGAGUUUCUCAAGAGCUCCAGAUGUUGGAUCAGGAUUUAUCCUGCAUCAGCAUAAAAAGAAAGAAAAAGAGGAAGUACAGAGGAACGUCACAUUGUCUGAGUUUCGAUAGUAUUUCAGCAAACUCAUGAUGAAUAAUGUGUUCAGUUCAGCUCCUCUGACUACAUAAUGUGUGUGUGUGUGUAAAUCUGCACAAGUGUCAUGUGACUGUGAGGGUUUUGCACUCAUUCAGAGGAAGUGAAGAGAGACAGGAUGUGUGAAAACAGUUAAACUACUGCAUUCAGAUCAUAGAGUCAUUUUUACACACAAACACUGCAGAUGAAAGUAAGAAUGUUUCGUCUUAUCUCUCUGAUUUCUCUGCUUAUGAUUCCUGUUGUUCUUGUGUAGUUGAGAUGACGGUCACACAUAACCAGGAAGAGGAAGACCAACAUUUAGCUUGCACUUUAUAAAGUGUGAAAACUGCAGGCGUUUGACGGCUUAAACUGAUGAUGAUUUUGUCAUUUGUGCGUCGACACUGACACACUGACACUGCAGAGCGAAGUCACUAUGGUGUCGUCUCUCAUAAAGUCUCUUCCUCUGAUCGUAGUGAUCAUGACUGCGGGGGUUGAUGGUCAGCAGGAUUGGGGAGUGAAUUACAGCCCUUCAUAUGUUUGUGCAUUAAAGGGAACAAAAGUGAAAAUAUCCUGUACUUUAAAAUAUCCUCAUGGUCAUGUGAUCAGAACAGCCUUCUGGACCAAACAUGUUGUAACUGAUGGAGAAUCACCUGAUCUGUGUUCAGAUCCAGAGGAGAGAGGAGGGAUUCAGUGUUUGAGUGAAGAUAAAGACACUCACAGCAUCACUUUGACGAAAGUAACAGAAGCUGAUAAACACGUCUACUACUGCAGAUUUACUACAAACAUUGAUGGUGGAAAUUGGACGGGGAUUCCUGGAGUUCAGCUUGACGUCACAGACCUGCAGGUGGAGACACAGCAGAGAGUGAAAGAGGGAGAUUCAGUCACUCUGACAUGUAAAAGCAGCUGCUCUCUGACUGAACAAACAACAUUCAUCUGGUACAGAAACACACAGAGAUUCACUGAAGGAAUUGUGAAAGAGAAUCAGCUUCAUCUGUGGUCAGUCAGUCGUUCUGAUGCUGGAAACUAUCAGUGUGAAAUAAGAGGACAUGAACAUCUGCUCUCUCCUGCUGUUUAUCUUCAUGUUGAUUGGGUUUAUGGUCAGCGGUAUCAGGGAGUGAAUUACAGCCCUUCAUAUGUUUGUGCAUUAAAGGGAUCAACAGUGAAAAUAUCCUGUACUUUAACAUAUCCUCAGAGUUAUAAGAUCAAAACAGUCAUGUGGACCAAAACUGUUACUGAUGGAGAAUCACCUGAUCUGUGUUCAGAUCCAGAGAAGAGAGGAGGGAUUGAGUGUUUGAGUAAUGAUAAAGACACUUCCAGCAUCACUUUGACGAAUGUAAGAGAAGCUGAUAAACACGUCUACUACUGCAGAUUUACAGAUUAUUGGAAUAAAAGAUGGACAGUGAUUCCUGGAGCUUGGCUUGAUGUCACAGACCUGCAGGUGGAGACACAGCAGAGAGUGAAAGAGGGAGAUUCAGUCACUCUGACAUGUAAAAGCAGCUGCUCUCUGACUGAACAAACAACAUUCAUCUGGUACAGAAACACACAGAGAUUCACUGAAGGAAUUGUGAAAGAGAAUCAGCUUCAUCUGCAGUCAGUCAGUCGUUCUGAUACUGGAAACUACAGAUGUGCUGUAAGAGGAAAUGAACAUCUGAUCUCUCCACCUGUUCAUCUUGAUGUUGAAUGGGUUGAUGGUCUGUGGGAUCCGGGAGUGAAUUACAGCCCUUCAUAUGUUUGUGCAUUAAAGGGAUCAACAGUGAAAAUAUCCUGUACUUUAAAAUAUCCUCAAUAUCAUAAACUCAUAAAAGGUUUCUGGACCAAACCUGUUGGAGAAUCACCUGAUCUGUGUUCAGAUCCAGAGAAGAGAGGAAGAGUUCAGUGUUUGAGUGAAGAUAAAGACACUCACAGCAUCACUUUGACGAAUGUAACAGAAGCUGAUAAACACGUCUACUACUGCAGAUUUACAUAUAAAUGGGAUAAAAGAUGGACAGUUAUUCCUGGAGCUUGGCUUGAUGUCACAGACCUGCAGGUGGAGACACAGCAGAGAGUGAAAGAGGGAGAUUCAGUCACUCUGACAUGUAAAAGCAGCUGCUCUCUGACUGAACAAACAACAUUCAUCUGGUUCAGAAACACACAGAGAUUAACUGAUCGAACAGUGAAUCAGUUUCAGCUGAAGUCAGUCAGUCGUUCUGAUGAAGGAAACUAUCAGUGUGAAAUAAGAAGAAAUAAUCAUCUGAUCUCUCCUGCUGUUCAUCUUCAUGUUGAAUAUCCUCCAAAGAGCGUCUCAGUGUCCAUCAGUCCGUCUGGUGAAAUAGUGUCAGGAGAUUCAGUGACUCUGAACUGCAGCAGUGAUUCAAACCCUCCUGCUCUGAACUUCAGUUGGUUUAAGGAGAAUGAAACCUCAGCUGUUGGAUCUGGACAGAGUUUCAGCAUCUCCAGCUUUAACUCCAGUUUCAGUGGACGCUUCUACUGUGAGGCUCAGAAUAAAUAUGGAUCUCAGAGAUCAGCGUCUGUUUCUCUCACUGUUAAAGGGGUUCAGAGAGCUGCUCUGCACACAGUUUCUGGGAUCGUGGCGGGAUGUGGAGGUUUGAUCUUCAUCAUCAUCAUCAUCAUCAUUGUGUUCAUAAAGAAGAAGAGGAGAGAUGGUGGAGCUGAAGUUAUCAGACAAAAUCAGGAGGAUCGCUCUGACAGAUCAGCAGAAACGGCUCUGACCAAUGACACUGCACUGUAUUCACUCGUAUCAGCCAAUCAGAGAGAUGAUCUGUAUGAUGACAUUAAAGCAAAGAAACCCGAACACUCCGGGAGAAAACAAGCAGAAAGACUCUGGAGAUGUUGAAGAGGUUCAGUAUGCCAGUGUCCAUCACUUCAAGAACAAAGACAUGAAGAAGACUGAAGAGAACGACUGUCAGACCAUUGAGACGCAUCAUCCAUCUGAAGCCAACAGGUCUGAGGAUGUGAUCUACAGCUCAUGCAAGUAAAGAUCGUGUGGUUUAUUGAUGCUGGAGAACUGGAUUUGAGUCCAGCACAGGUCAUGUUCUCAUUUCCCUCUUCUCUUGAUUUCACCUGCACAUUUAUGGGACUGUUUUUCUGUUUGGAUAUGGAUGGAUUUAGAUUUAUAAUCAGCUCUUUUAUUAUGAUCUUAAUUGAUUGUCAGUAUCACACACACACACACACACUGAUACCUGUAAUAGUCAAAGGUCUUUUAGCUCUCGCUUUGUACAGUCAGAGCAGAACAGAUGUUUCCUCUCGUCUCGUCAAACUGUGUGAUUUUAUUGAUAAAUUCAUUAAAUCUGAACAUUGUCAGAAAGUCUCAUUAUGACAUCAUUCUCAUGACAAUAUAACACAUUUUACACCAAACUCUCAUUACUGUAAUGUGCCGGGUAUUGUAUUUUUCAUGUUUUUCACAUCUGUAAUACGGUAAAAAAAACUCUUUGUGUACUAUGUUAACUAACAAAUUUAAUGAAAAAUUAAAUGAGGAAAACAUUGUAAAUCCAUCUUCCAAACCGUGUUUUUGCUUUAAAUCAUUAUGGUCUGUAAUAAUUAUUUAUAUUUUAGAGCUGUCAGGACAAGGUUCACAAAACAUGUUGAUAAUGCCAAUCUUUACACCAGUUUCUACUUUGUCUAUAAAUAGGCUAGCCAAGUUAUAAUAACUUACAUUUACCUGCUCACAUUUUUCAGAUCCAUAUUUAUUUUCUUAUUGAGAGUUUUGAUGUCAUUAGUGACAUUCACAUAAGGCGAUCACCUGUAACCAUGAACACAUCGGUAAUUACCAAAAUAAUGUUCCUCUGUACAGUGUUGUCAACUAUUUCAAUGGAAAGCAGCUAAAGUCACUCAAAAAGUCGCUAAAUGCCGCUAAUGUCAGCAUUAUGUUCUGUUCAGUGUGUUUUUUCCUGUCAAAAUAAACUGACCUAGUUUCCAA